rnacentral:rRNA from 1 species
GACAGAGGCCUCGAGCGUUAGGCGGAAUCACUGGGCGUAAAGGGUGCGUAGGCGGGUCUUUAAGUCAGGGGUGAAAUCCUGGAGCUCAACUCCAGAACUGCCUUUGAUACUGAGGAUCUUGAGUUCGGGAGAGGUGAGUGGAACUGCGAGUGUAGAGGUGAAAUUCGUAGAUAUUCGCAAGAACACCAGUGGCGAAGGCGGCUCACUGGCCCGGUACUGACGCUGAGGUGCGAAAGCGUGGGGAGCAAACAGG